GCUAACAUGAGCUUUCAACUGACAAAAUGUAUAUACUCUCGACUAUGAAGUUAGAGGAUGCAUCCCUACCCAUAGAUGGUUGAACUCAACAAAUGUAUGAUGGAUGGGUUGACUAAAAGUAGUUGAGCUAGCAUCUUACAAAUUGUCUUUCAUCCUCCACAUUCUUCCUCCCAUAAGGAUUGCUCUCACUAAAUCUAUUCCUGCUCCCUUCUACUUUACGCGUUUUCUUCCUGAAUUUUGAGGCACUGCUGUCAAUGUUAAGGUUGACCUUUGGAGGAUUGGAAAAGCAAAAUGAAGCAGCAAUACCCUGCAGAUCAAGGCGGUGGACAUUGAAAAUAUCUUUCAUUGAGUGUGAAUUAUAAGCUAAUAAAUAGGAUCUGUAAGCAUCUUUA
rnacentral:misc_RNA from 1 species